UGAGCAAUCUGCCCUUCUCAUCGGAAUAAGCGUUGGAAACGACGUCUAAUGCCGAAUACGACCUCCUUUCGCAUGAUCGGAGGUGGAAAGCUCCGGCGGAGAAGGAUGAGCUCGCGGCCUAUCAGCUAGUUGGUGUGGGUAAUAGCCCACCAAGGCGACGACGGGUAGCCGGCCUGAGAGGGUGACCGGCCACACUGGGACUGAGACACCGGCCCAGACCUCCGUACGGGAGCA
rnacentral:rRNA from 1 species